rnacentral:rRNA from 1 species
GACGAACGCUGGCGGCGUGCUUAACACAUGCAAGUCGAACGAUGAAGCCUAGCUUGCUAGGUGGAUUAGUGGCGAACGGGUGAGUAAUACGUGAGUAACCUACCUUUAACUCUGGGAUAAGCCCGGGAAACUGGGUCUAAUACCGGAUACGACCAAUCUCCGCAUGGGGUGUUGGUGGAAAGCGUUAUGUAGUGGUUAUAGAUGGGCUCACGGCCUAUCAGCUUGUUGGUGAGGUAACGGCUCACCAAGGCGACGACGGGUAGCCGGCCUGAGAGGGUGACCGGCCACACUGGGACUGAGACACGGCCCAGACUCCUACGGGAGGCAGCAGUGGGGAAUAUUGCACAAUGGGCGCAAGCCUGAUGCAGCGACGCCGCGUGAGGGAUGACGGCCUUCGGGUUGUAAACCUCUGUUAGCAGGGAAGAAGAGAGAUUGACGGUACCUGCAGAGAAAGCGCG